GGAGGCUCAGCGAGUUCCUGGGGGACGUGAGGAUCCUCUGAGCCGGGACGUCCUCCGUGUCCGUGUCCUCCGUCCCACAGAACAAGGCCAGCUCCACCCCCUCAGCCUCCACCUGGACACAGCCGGACGGAUUACGUCCCCCGUGUCUGACGUCACCAUGAUAGGGGCGGGGUUUCUGCCACCAGACUCCAUUCAAAAAACACCCGAUUUUAGACCAGACGUUGUUUCUCCUUCCUCAAACACAGAAAGAAGGAGAAACAACAGUGGAUCAUCUCACUCGUCCUGGAUCAGUUCCUCUGAUUCAAGCAUCCGAGCAUCAGCUCCGAGACGCAUCACGAGACGAGACCCUCGUCCCCGGGUCCUGCAGCCUGAGCCGGCCUCCCUCCCUCCACCUCCUCCCUCUCUCUCUCCCUCCUCCCUCCUCCCUCCCCUCCCUCCACCUCCUCCCUCCCCUCCCUCC